rnacentral:rRNA from 1 species
AGUGAACGCUGGCGGUAGGCCUAACACAUGCAAGUCGAACGGCAGCACAGUAAGAGCUUGCUCUUACUGGUGGCGAGUGGCGGACGGGUGAGGAAUACAUCGGAAUCUACUUUUUCGUGGGGGAUAACGUAGGGAAACUUACGCUAAUACCGCAUACGACCUACGGGUGAAAGCAGGGGAUCUUCGGACCUUGCGCGAUUGAAUGAGCCGAUGUCGGAUUAGCUAGUUGGCGGGGUAAAGGCCCACCAAGGCGACGAUCCGUAGCUGGUCUGAGAGGAUGAUCGGCCACACUGGAACUGAGACACGGUCCAGACUCCUACGGGAGGCAGCAGUGGGGAAUAUUGGACAAUGGGCGCAAGCCUGAUCCAGCCAUACCGCGUGGGUGAAGAAGGCCUUCGGGUUGUAAAGCCCUUUUGUUGGGAAAGAAAAGCAGCAGGUUAAUACCCCGCUGUUCUGACGGUACCCAAAGAAUAAGCACCGGCUAACUUCGUG